rnacentral:snRNA from 1 species
UUGGGACCCACAGUAAAGUGGGAACCCUC